GAGGUAUUUGUAAAAAGAAAAAUAAAAAAGCGCUUUAUAAGCCAUCCAAAGCAACGUUACUAACCGCUCAGUGCAGUCUUCCCACUCGUACACGUUCACUCUCUAGCAUUUCGCUUUUUAGCAGUCUACUCAAUUUCUUCCUAGCGCUCAGUCGUCGGUGAUGUCAAGCUCACAGCCGCCUCCGACGCUGUCGUCGUCUCUCAGCCAUGACGUCGAGCAGAAGCUGAUCCUGCAAUCUCCUCCUCCAGCGGCGGCUCAGUCUUCGUCGUUCGUGCAGAAACCGGCUCAGCCGCCGUCGUCUAUGAAGUCUCUCCGGCCCCCGGCGAGGCCCGGUUACGGAACAGUCGGCCGGAGAUGCAUUGUUCGUGCGAAUCAUUUUCUCGUCGAUGUUGCUGAUAGAGAUCUCCACCACUAUGACGUGACAAUAGCACCUGAAGUUACCUCAAAGAAAGUCUGCAGGGAAAUAGUGAAUGAGCUUAUUGCAUCAUAUCAGGAGUCUCACUUGGGCAAACGAUGUCCAGCUUAUGAUGGCAGGAAAAGUUUGUACACAGCAGGGCCAUUGCCUUUUGUCUCUCAGGACUUUGUCGUAAAUCUGGUUGAAAAAGAUACUACCUCAAGAUUGCAUAGGGGUCCUUGAUUGUUUUUUGGUGACUGAAGAUAAUAAACAUAAUUCUCUCUCUCUCUCUCCCCCCCCGGCAGCCAAAGUUCUGUGAGUUGUUGGGCUCCUAAAAGUGUCUAGAAGUGUUGAGACAAUGAAUCUAUUGUCCAUUUCUCAGGCAAACUGUUUGCAGUCUGACGAAAUAUUUUACAUCUGAGAGAACUUGAGUUCAGGAUGGCAAUCAAAUUUGCUGCCAAAGCUGACCUCCAUCACCUGCAACAGUUCCUAUGCAGCAGACAACUUGAUGUCCCCCAAGAAACUAUACAAGUUCUUGAUGUAGUUCUUAGAUCAACUCCUUCAGAUAAGUGAGUCUCAUUUGACCUAAAAACAAUUUGGCAAAUUGUUGGUUUUUUGGCUUUUUAGCUUUCGAAUGUUAUUAUUGUAAUUGCAAGCGUGCCAGUAAGGAUCAAUCAGUCCUUAUAGAAAUUUAAU